UGUACAUGUCCCACUUUUCAAGCCUCCAAGCUGUGCCUUGGAUGGCUUUGGGGCAUGGACA
rfam:Hepatitis B virus strain G5.27295, complete genome.